rnacentral:rRNA from 1 species
CCGCAAGGGGAGUGGCAGACGGGUGAGUAACGCGUGGGAAUUUCCCCCAAGGUUCGGAAUAACUGAGGGAAACUUCAGCUAAUACCGAAUGGUACCGAGAGGUUAAAGAUUUAUCGCCUUGGGAUGAGCCCGCGUUGGAUUAGCUAGUUGGUGAGGUAACGGCUCACCAAGGCUUUGAUCCAUAGCUGGUCUGAGAGGACGACCAGCCACACUGGGACUGAGACACGGCCCAGACUCCUACGGGAGGCAGCAGUGGGGAAUCUUGGACAAUGGGCGCAAGCCUGAUCCAGCCAUGCCGCGUGGGCGAUGAAGGUCUUCGGA